GAUGAACGCUGGCGGCGUGCCUAAUACAUGCAAGUCGAGCGAACAGACGAGGAGCUUGCUCCUUCGACGUUAGCGGCGGACGGGUGAGUAACACGUAGGUAACCUACCUAUAAGACUGGGAUAACUUCGGGAAACCGGAGCUAAUACCGGAUAAUAUUUCGAACCGCAUGGUUCGAUAGUGAAAGAUGGCUUUGCUAUCACUUAUAGAUGGUCCUGCGCCGUAUUAGCUAGUUGGUAAGGUAACUGCUUACCAAGGCAACGAUACGUAGACGACCUCAGAGGGUGAUCGGCCACACUGGAACUGAGACACGGUCCAGACUCCUACGGGAGGCAGCAGUAGGGAAUCUUCCGCAAUGGGCGAAAGCCUGACGGAGCAACGCCGCGUGAGUGAUGAAGGUCUUCGGAUCGUAAAACUCUGUUAUUAGGGAAGAACAAACGUGUAAGUAACUGUGCACGUCUUGACGGUACCUAAUCAGAAAGCCACGGCUAACUACGUG
rnacentral:rRNA from 1 species